CCUCCUAUACUUAUUUUUGUCCUCCGUUUUUCUGUUGUAUACUUUGUGCCUUCUCUUUGUUUGCCGAAAAACUUCCGGAAAGGAGAAGGAAAUUGAGUUUGAAUUUUAUGCAUUCUGUUUGUUUGGCAUGGACAAACUGGACAAUUAAAGAAAAAAGUUGGAAAUCCUGGAUCAGUUCAAUUAAUAUAACCAGAAUAGAAUUCUGGAUGGGAUCUGUCAUGUGGCUGUUGGCCUUGUUCUUGGAGCUUAAAGUGGACUGUUUAACAUGUAAAUUCGUGGAUGCAUAACAAAACUGGGCUCACAGGAUAUGAAAGUAACAUCGACUUUAUGUUGUCUCUAUAUACAGACUGAAUAUAUUUGUGUCUGCAACAGUAGUUUUAUACAUAAUUGUAUUCUUGUUUCGCAGCAAUUCUGGAUAGCGCAGACAUCUACUAAAUUAAGCUCUAUUGCACUGCA